AGUCAAUAGAUACCCCGGUAGUCCAUGCCGUAAACGAUGAUUGCUAGGUGUGGGGGGUCUGACCCCUUCCGUGCCGGAGUUAAACACAAAUAAGCAAUCCACCUGGGGAGUACGGCCGCAAGGUUGAAACUCAAAGGAAUUGACGGGGGCCCGCACAAGCAGUGGAGUAUGUGGUUUAAUUCGAAGCAACGCGAAGAACCUUACCAGGUCUUGACAUCCACCGAAUCCUGUAGAGAUACGGGAGUGCCCUUCGGGGAACGGUAAGACAGGUGGUGCAUGGUUGUCGUCAGCUCGUGUCGUGAGAUGUUGGGUUAAGUCCCGCAACGAGCGCAACCCUUGUGAAUAGUUGCUACGAAAGAGCACUCUAUUCAGACCGCCGUUGACAAAACGGAGGAAGGUGGGGAUGACGUCAAAUCAUCAUGCCCCUUAUGACCUGGGCUACACACGUACUACAAUGGCCGUUAACAGAGGGAUGCAAUACCGCGAGGUGGAGCGAACCCCUAAAAACGGUCUCAGUUCAGAUUGCAGGCUGAAACUCGCCUGC
rnacentral:rRNA from 1 species